GUGCUCGCUUUGACAGCACAUGUACUAAAAUUGGAAAGAUACAGAGAAGAUUAGCUAUGUCCCCUAUGCAAGGAUGACACACAAAUUCGUGCAGCAUUCCAUUAAAAA
rnacentral:snRNA from 1 species